UACGGGGGGGGCAAGCGUUGUUCGGAAUUACUGGGCGUAAAGGGCUCGUAGGCGGCCAACUAAGUCAGACGUGAAAUCCCUCGGCUCAACUGAGGAACUGCCUUUGAGACUGUCGGGCUUGAGGCCGGGAGGGGGUAGCGGAAUUCCCAGUGUAGCGGUGAAAUGCGUAGAUAUUGGGAGGAACACCAGUGGCGAAGGCGGCUACCUGGACCGGUUCUGACGCUGAUGCGCGAAAGCGUGGGUAGCAAACAGG
rnacentral:rRNA from 1 species